GUCAGUUUGACAACAGUUGUCAUUUCCAUUUUUGUUUACCUCUGAUGGUGUUUCUGAUUCAAAAAUCAGUAGAUCACCGAAAUCGACCACAACAAAUUUCGUUAAUUUAAAUAGCAGUGCGGUUGGAAUUGCAAAUGCCUUGUAGGUAUUUUAUGCCGAUUAAAAUGAACAUGCUCAGCCCUCGCCAUACGUUGCUAUCAGUGUUCCUCACCGACGGAUCCCAAGGGAGUGCACAAGUGUGGCUCAUACAAGAAAUUCAAUCGAACGCAGAAUAUUGCCAUCGAGUGCAACAGUGAUGAGUCAAACAUGCCGGGUUCGUUCUGCAUGAAGGUGGUACAUCAGAGCCCUCGAGGAUUUAUCUGGGACGGCCGAUGGCGUCAGGUGAUCCGACGGUGCGCCUCGCUAUCGGAAACUGGUGUCACUGGCGUGUGCAACUGGGGCGUCUACGAGAACGGGGUCUACUGGGAGGAGUGCUAUUGUGCCCAGGAUGGCUGCAACCAUGCAGCGAAAUCUGUCACCAUUUCGGCAGUGAGCCUUGUGUGCCUUAUAGGUUUAAGUUUCAUGUUCAGACAAAUGUUCGCCUAACGGUUUCUCUGUUAAGUACAAACAUACAAACUGAAAGCUAACAAAAUCCAUUCCAUUUUAUUUGAUAGAACGACAACUCAAGGAAAUUUUACCCGUUGUUUAUACACACCUGACUCCGUCCAGAGUAUUUUGUUUUAAGAGGUUAGAAAUCGAUUUUACUGUUUAUUACGUACUCGUAGUAAGAACCAGAAUCUUGUUCCACACUUUUCCUCUACCAAUGGAAUGGAAGGAUCGGAGCCCUUCUGUCCGAUUGCAUAUAUCUGCUCAAAUACAGGCAUAGACUUUUCCAGUGUUUUUACUUUCUGUACCGGGCAGCGGAGCGUUUGUCGGUUUGUUUUCCGCUGCCGCAGUACCCAUGCUAAUGCAGGUGAAUAACAGUGUUCAAUACCAUGGUGGUAAAAUUUUGAUCUACGUGUGCUGGUGUAUAUUCACAAUACUUGCGCGCUGAUGAGUAUCUGUAUUGCACUAGUAGGGACAAUAUGCAAUACAAAGUUCCAUUCGCUAGCCUAGCAUUGUGCACAUCAGAUUGUGAAGUUGUUUGACCAGUAUGGUGGUAGCGAUUCAAUCCAAUAAUACUGGAAACCAACAUUGCAUAAUAAUUAAUUCCAAAUUUUGUUAUGUCUUUAUUUAGGAGACUUUCAGCCCUAGGCUGGCUCAUCUCCGCAAUCUAAAUGUUCAUUUUAAAGAAAAUAAGUAAAAAUUAUUUCUAAUUCCAGCACAAAAUUUUAAAGCAAAUAUUAUUAUUAUAAUAAAACUUCACACUUAAAAUAAAUCGCAGAUUUCUGUAAUAUUUCACCGAAAUCUCAACAGCAGAACUGUUCGGUGAAUAAUUUUACAGAUUUUCGGUGGUUUUGACAGUUGAACAAAGGAAAAAUCGCAGAAAAUUCGGUGAAAUAAUUACCGAACAGUUCUGCUGUUGAGAUUUCGGUGAAUUGAAGCAAAAUUCACCGAAAUCUGUGAAAUGAUUUAAGUGUGUUAGUUCAGCAUCGGGAAUCAAACCUUUCGACUUGCUUUGUAAACGCGUAUCUUACCGCACGGCUAAGGAGGGCCUAACUUAUACAAGAACCACAAAAACUGAAUGGAUUUUUUUACACUACCCACAAAGUGAAUGAUUGAUUGAUUGCUAUUGCGAUUGGGCUGAUUGAAUGAUUGAUUAAAUGGGUUGAGGCUUGAUUGAUUGAUGGACUGCCGUUAUACGCAUAACUGCCCCAUGUACUUAGGAUUCCCAGUAUAUAUGGGACAAUUAUGCGUAUGACGGCAGUUGAUUGAUUAAAUGAAUGAUUUAUUGAUUAAUUGAUCGAUUGAUUGAGUUGAUUGAUUGCUUGGAUUAUUCGAUUGAUUGAUUGAAUGGGUUCUGAUAACGAAAAUUACUUUGAUUGAUUGAUUGAAUAAUAUUGAUUGAUAGAUUGAUUGAUUGGGUUGAUAAUUCGUUGAUUGAUUGAUUGUUUGCGUUUAUUGCGAUUGAUUGAUUCGGUUGAUUACGAUUGAUUGAUUGGUUUAUUGGUUUAAUUGAAUGAUUGUUUAGGAAUUGAUUGAAUGAAUCAUUGAUUGAUGGGUUGAUUGUUAAAUUUAUUGAUUGAUAGGGUUGAUUGAUUGAUUGAUAAAUUGAACGAAUGAUUGAUUGGGUUGUUAGUUGAUGGAAUGAUUGGAUUGAUUGAUUGAAUAAUUGGGUUGAUUAAUUUAUUGAUAGUUGAUUGAAUGACUGAUAGAUUAAUUGAUUGAUUGAUUGAGAUGACUGUUGGUUGAGUGAUUAAUUGAUCGGGUUGAUUGCUUGGCUUGAUCGAUUGUUUGAAUGAUUCAUUGAUUGAUUGAUAAAUUAAUUGAAAUGGUUGAUUGAUUGAUUGUGUCUAUUGGUUGAUUGAACGAUUGUGAGAUUGAUUGGGUUGAUUAAUUGAUUGAUUAGUUGGUUUGAUUGAUUGAUUCAUUACGUUGGUUGAUUGAGACCCCCCUCUCCCACAAGUGCUUACGUAAUUAGUGAACGGCCCCUAACAUAAACAUAAUCAUUCGAAUACUUAAAAAAUAAAAAAUAAAUGAUGUUCUCUUCAUC